GAUAAAUACGUAGCCUAUAGAUAGGAAAGACAGCAAUUAUUAGUCGAGUUUAAAAACGGGCCAUUAUUUACUGGCUAUUAUAACUUUUGCGUCGACCGACUUGCGAGCUCCGUACGUAAAAACACAAAUAAUAUAACUGCUCUAAGUAAAUCAAAAUUCACUAACAAAAUGUCCAAGUUCAUUUUCAUUUUUAUAUGUAUAGCUGCGAUGUUUGCUAUUGGUCAUAGUGAACCUAACCUCAAAGGUUGCAAACGCUGUGGAAAUCUCGGAGAGAGUUGUAUAAUAGCUGAAUGCUGUAGCGGUUUGGAAUGCAAGUCCAAUGAAAAGUCCCAAAAAAGAUGUGAUGAUCCAGAAAUAAUAUGGAGUUUCCAAAGGGGACCCAAACCAGGUGAAAUGAAUAACAGGGGUUACAGGCGAUUUUAACAUUUCCCUUUUCAUAAAUAAAAAUUAUAAAGUAAAUGACCCAGUACUUGCAAUAACGAGACCCAAUACUGGAACGAUUUGAUAAUAAUUAUUUAAUAUUUAAUCUUGUAUCCGAUUAAAGUUAAUAAAAUUUUCUUUAUUUGCGCGUUAA